UGAUCAUCCAUUCCUAAUCUAACGGUUCGGAUCGCGCCGAUGUUGAAUAAAUAUAUAUCUGGUUGACCACUCGUGAAACCCUAAGCCCCCUUCUCUCCCACCUCCGUUGGCUGCGGUGGCUACACUUCCCACACGAGAGAGAGAGAGAGAGAGAGAGAGAGAGAGAGAGAGAGAGAGAGAGAGAGAGGACGGGCUCAGAUGGGGCGGCGCCGGCAUGCGACAACGCGAGAACCGGCUUCUCUAGAGCUUUGCUCUCUUGCGGCAACGCGGGGAUGGCUUCCCUGUAGCGGCGGCGGCGGCAGCCUUGAGCUCCAUGGAAAUAGAGACGGCGACGACCACGAGCUCCACGACGGCCACAAGUUGCUCGUCUUCCGGCGGCAACGAUGCAUCGAGGACGCCGACCACCAUGGCUAGAUGCCCUCCUAUUUUUCAGGAUUAUUGUUCUGAAUGUGCAUGGGUUGGAGGGGGAGCUAGCUUUGGACAAGGUUGUUGUCGUGGGAGCCUGCAGCACGUUUUGUGUUGGAUGAAUGCCAUCUUGCUUUUGUGAAAGCAUUUGAGGUCUGCAAAUAAUCAGUUGUGAUGGAUGCAAAACUUCAGCUAGUGCUAAGUCAUUCGAGCAAGUUGAUCUAUAAGGCUAAUCUGGUGCUGGAUUUUUCAGUCAUUUCAUGUAUUACAGGAUUUGUUGCAAUGCUAUUGGAAUAUCAAUAAAUAUUUGCUCCUUAGUAAAGUUGCUGCAUAUCAGAUGCAAUCCAUUUAUUUUGUUUGCCAUAUUUUGUUCCUGUAACAUUUUUGGACCGGAAGAAUAAUGACAAGUUGCUAAGUGGAACCUGUCAUAGAUUGUAUGCUUGUUGGAUGCAAUUUCGAUUACCUGUGGGUGUAAAUGUUAUUAUGUAAGCUGAUGAUUUAUUAA